rnacentral:lncRNA from 1 species
UUCAAAGUCUUCAGAUUGAUUUUCUUCAGGACGCACCGAACUUCUCAUUUUCAAUAUGUUCAUGAGGAAUAUCAAUUUCAUCGCAAUUUCUUCGUGAUUCAAUUCUUCACCUUCAGACCAAUUUCUUCAGCCGAAGAUAUACAUUUUUAGGGGUCGAUAUUCAUCGAAUAUUUCAAACUCCUCAACGACUUAUAGAUCCU